AGGUUGAGGUUUAAAUACAAUCUCAUGUUGAGGUUCAUCAAAUACAACAUAUUCAGACUCAAUAGUAGGUUGACUCUGAGUCUGUUGUUCUGAAGGACUAGAGGGUUAAGAUUCAAAGGGAGAAGGGUCAGCAACGUAAAAUUAUUGGGGUGUGACUAACAGAGGUGUUUGAUUGGAUUAGUUAUAGGGUAAUUCAUUAAUUAGAUGCUCUGAGAGAGCUUCUAGCUAGUGAAUGGCUCAUAGAUUCUCUGAAUUUGGUUUAGGUCAAUUAAUUCUGGGACGGUUGUAUGUUGAGUGGGGAAAAUUAUAGGUUGGUAUUUUAUGAUAGGUAGGUUGUUUGGUAGAUGGGGAAAAUCUGUGUUCAUAGGAUUUAGAGGAUGAAAGGGUUGGGGAUUGCCUAAGUAAU
rnacentral:lncRNA from 1 species